rnacentral:rRNA from 1 species
UACACGACCGUACCGCAAACCGACACUGGUGCGCGAGAUGAGUAUUCUAAGGCGCUUGAGAGAACUCAGGAGAAGGAACUCGGCAAAUUGACACCGUAACUUCGGAAGAAGGUGUGCCUUUAGUAGGUGAAGUCCCUCGCGGAUGGAGCCCAAUGAGGUUGCAAAAAAUCGGUGGCUGCGACUGUUUAUUAAAAACACAGCACUCUGCAAACACGAAAGUGGACGUAUAGGGUGUGACGCCUGCCCGGUGCUGGAAGAUUAAAUGAUGGGGUGCAAGCUCUUGAUUGAAGUCCCAGUAAACGGCGGCCGUAACAAUAACGGUCCUAAGGUAGCGAAAUUCCUUGUCGGGUAAGUUCCGACCUGCACGAAUGGCGUAACGAUGGCCACACUGUCUCCUCCUGAGACUCAGCGAAGUUGAAAUGUUUGUGAUGAUGCAAUCUCCCCGCGGAAAGACGGAAAGACCCCAUGAACCUUUACUGUAGCUUUGUAUUGGACUUUGAACAGAUCUGUGUAGGAUAGGUGGGAGGCUUUGAAGCAGGGUCGCUAGAUCUUGUGGAGCCAACGUUGAAAUACCACCCUGGUGUGUUUGAGGUUCUAACCUAGGCCCGUAAUCCGGGUUGGGGACAGUGCAUGGUAGGCAGUUUGACUGGGGCGGCCUCCUCCCAAAGUGUAACGGAGGAGUUCGAAGGUACGCUAGUUACGGUCGGACAUCGUGACGAUAGUGCAAUGGCAUAAGCGUGCUUAACUGCGAGACUGACAAGUCGAGCAGAUGCGAAAGCAGGACAUAGUGAUCCGGUGGUUCUGUAUGGAAGGGCCAUCGCUCAACGGAUAAAAGGUACUCUGGGGAUAACAGGCUGAUACCGCCCAAGAGUUCAUAUCGACGGCGGUGUUUGGCACCUCGAUGUCGGCUCAUUUCAUCCUGGGGCUGUAGCCGGUCCCAAGGGUAUGGCUGUUCGCCAUUUAAAGAGGUACGUGAGCUGGGUUUAAAACGUCGUGAGACAGUUUGGUCCCUAUCUUCCGUGGGCGCUGCAGAUUUGAGGAAGCCUGCUCCUAGUACGAGAGGACCGGAGUGGACGCACCUCUGGUGUAUCGGUUGUCACGCCAGUGGCAUUGCCGAGUAGCUAUGUGCGGAAGAGAUAACCGCUGAAAGCAUCUAAGCGGGAAACUCGUUUCAAGAUGAGAUCUGCCGGGGCCUUGAGCCCCCUGAAGAGUCGUUCAAGACCAGGACGUUGAUAGGUCGGGUGUGGAAGCGCAGUAAUGCGUUAAGCUAACCGAUACUAAUUGCUCGUGCGGCUUGACCCU